CCUACGGGAGGCAGCAGUGGGGAAUAUUGGGCAAUGGGCUCAAGCCUGACCCAGCAACGCCGCGUGCAGGAAGAAUGCUUUCGGGUUGUAAACUUCUUUUCUGAGGGACGAAGAAAGUGACGGUACCUCAGGAAUAAGCCACGGCUAACUACGUGCCAGCAGCCGCGGGAAUACGUAGGUGGCAAGCGUUAUCCGGAUUUAUUGGGUGUAACGGGCGUGUAGGCGGGAAAGCAAGUCAGAUGUGAAAACUCAGGGCUCAAACCUGAGCCUGCAUUUGAAACUGUUUUUCUUGAGUGCUUGAGAGGCAAGCGGAAUGCGGGGUGUAGCGGUGAAAUGCGUAGAUAUACGGAGGAACACCAGUGGCGAAGGCGGAUUGCUGGACAGUAACUGACGCUGAGGCGCGAAAGCGUGGGGAGCAAACAGGAUUAGAUACCCGUGUAGUC
rnacentral:rRNA from 1 species